UACACUCCUACGGGAGGCAGCAGUAGGGAAUCUUCGGCAAUGGGGGCAACCCUGACCGAGCAACGCCGCGUGAGUGAAGAAGGUUUUCGGAUCGUAAAGCUCUGUUGUAAGUCAAGAACGAGUGUGAGAGUGGAAAGUUCACACUGUGACGGUAGCUUACCAGAAAGGGACGGCUAACUACGUGCCAGCAGCCGCGGUAAUACGUAGGUCCCGAGCGUUGUCCGGAUUUAUUGGGCGUAAAGCGAGCGCAGGCGGUUUGAUAAGUCUGAAGUUAAAGGCUGUGGCUCAACCAUAGUUCGCUUUGGAAACUGUCAAACUUGAGUGCAGAAGGGGAGAGUGGAAUUCCAUGUGUAGCGGUGAAAUGCGUAGAUAUAUGGAGGAACACCGGUGGCGAAAGCGGCUCUCUGGUCUGUAACUGACGCUGAGGCUCGAAAGCGUGGGGAGCGAACAGGAUUAGAAACCCGUGUAGUCCCAUGA
rnacentral:rRNA from 1 species